CACCGCCACCCCCCCGCCCCCCGCCGCCCCAUUUCCCGAGAGGAAAGAAAGAAACAAACAAACAACGCGAAACAGCCCCUGGAUGAAGAACACUCGGGCAAAUUGAUAAUAGUAAUUAUAGGAAGCCCACUCGCCCCGCGCCCCCUCCCCUUCCCUCUCCUCUCAGAGUUCAGCAAGGCACCGUCUCUUCCUCCCCCAGCCCUCUGCCCCCAAAUUAAGAUUUCCCAUUCUCCGCCGCAAUAAGAAAUAUAAUUAUAAGCCUCUUUGGACACCGUCCCUCCCCCCCCCCACCCCGCCACUUUGACAAAUUUGCUUAAGUAUUUGCCCCCACCUCACUCGCAAACAUACUCCCCCACGCUGGUUCCCAUAAAAAGUUCCAGCAGAAAUGUUGCUUUUUCUCCCCCCCCCCCCCCCCAGAAAGGAAAGAGAAAGUACAAUCAGCACGGCAAGACUUCUAAGCUGUCCUAAAUGAUGGUAUCCUUUCUGGCUUCGAAACUUUUGUACCUAAAAAUCGAGAGAGGCGCUGCAUGUUUUCAGCUGAAUCUGUCAAAACUUGGAGAAAGGAGACUCGGAGUCAGGCAGCAGAGGAGGAGAAUCCUGAAACUCGGUGGAGGUUGGGAAGAUGCUGUGCCUCCAGGAUUAGUUUAAACAGGGGGCUAUAAAAGAUGUAACAGAUGCAAACUGUAACACAAGGGCCAUUAACCCUUUCUCUGCCGAGCACACUCGGUCCCCACGCCCCGCACCUAUUGUCUCCUGUGCGAGCAGCUUUGCGGAAAACCUGGAAAUUUUGGCCAGAAAUGGUGAGAAGAAAAAGCAUGAAGAAGCCGCGAAGUGUGGGGGAGAAAAAGGUGGAAGCGAAGAAACAGCUCCCGGAGUAAACUGCACAAAACCUCGCCAAGAGUGUCGGGAGGCAGGACCGUUAUUCCUGCGGAGCAGGUUAGAACUGAUCUCUUUCGGCCACUCCAGGAAACACAAACCUGGGGACGGACUGACGUGUUACGCCUCUUCUAAUGACAUUUUUUUCUUUUUCUUUUCUGUAGGAGAGAGAGGAGAGACCCUGAAACACGCGCCACCUAUCUUUGUGGGGAGGGAUAAUUGAAGCGCCCUGAGCGUGAGCAUCAUGUGAAAACGUGAUCGCCAAGUUUCUCUCUGGGAAAGGAUCUGGGAUAGAUUAUACCUUGAAGUCUCCGCAAACGCUUUAGUGGAAGAAAUGAAAUUCCACCUCCCUCCCUUCCUCUCUCCCUCCCUCUCGCCUCCCACCCUCAGACGCUCAGGUCUCCACGACACCCCGGAGGGAAAGUGUAGCAGAUUAUAUUUUGUAUAGAAAGAAACAAAAUCCACGGAGUAGUGCAUGUAGCGUA
rnacentral:lncRNA from 1 species